CAGAAAAUUUGCACAUUCUUAAACCCUGUGAGGAAAAAUCCAAAAAUAGAUUCAGUCACUGCAGCAAUGGUUAGGGACCUACCAAAAUGGAAGCAAGCAGGACGUAAACCAGGGAUCAGCACACAUGGUGGCAGAAAUACCUUGAAGUAUUAAACACAGAUGAUCUAUCACUCCCUUCAGUACCAUUACCGACAUCCUUACCAAAAUUUCAGAUUCCUGCAGUAGAAAGGCCAUCUAGGGCACUGGAUCCCAACAUUUUGGAAGCCAUCAAUAGACAUAUUGUUCAGCUGCAGACUUCAUCAGAG
rnacentral:lncRNA from 1 species